UUUCCGUAGGUGAACCUGCGGAGGGAUCAUUACAAGUGACCCCGGUCUUACCACCGGGAUGUUCAUAACCCUUUGUUGUCCGACUCUGUUGCCUCCGGGGCGACCCUGCCUUCGGGCGGGGGCUCCGGGUGGACACUUCAAACUCUUGCGUAACUUUGCAGUCUGAGUAAACUUAAUUAAUAAAUUAAAACUUUUAACAACGGAUCUCUUGGUUCUG
rnacentral:misc_RNA from 1 species